AUUCCCAAGGAGUCUGAUGGUGAGCGUUUUGAAGAUGCUCUUGCUCGUGUGUGUCGUUGCGUUGGUGGCGGGACUGCAAUGGAUAACGAUGAUAGUGACAGUGAUUUGGAAGUUGUUGCAGAUUCUUUUACUGUCAAUCUGCGUUGUCCGGUAAAUCGUUUUUCUGAUAAACUUUUGUGAGACGAAAAUUGCGCACUUCGUUAUAGGAGUUUAUGAAGCCAGUAAAUUUAACACAAUUAUAUAAUGCAUUGUGGAAUGUUAUAUUUUGUAUGAAUUUUACUUUUGUGUAUGAGCUGAAUUAUAUGCAUUGCAAUUAAUCUCAACUCUUAGAUUCAAGAAUGUUUGAAUUGCCAACCAUACGAAUAACCAAGGGGUUCUCUUCUAACUUAUUUUUCAAAUUCUUAUAUUGAUUAUCAGGAGUCUGUCUCGAUAAUGCUUGUUAGGCUAAUUGUUUAGAGUGCUUCAUCAAGUUCCAAUGUUGUGAGUGCCUCUCCCUAGGGUUGUACCAAGGAUAAACAUCCCUCUACUGAUGGGACAGUCCAAUAUUAGCUGAUGCUGACCCUAAUUGUUCUAACACAAACAAUACUAUCAAUGUGGUUUAUAUUUUACUUUCAAUGUAGUAAUUCUGUAGUACAGGAUAUCAAUUGUCUAGAGAGGUUUUCUUAUGUCGAGGAACACCUUUCAUGCUUUUGUUCGUAUGUGCUAUUUGUUUCUGGGACUGAAUUGGGUAUGUUUAUGCAUGUAUUUGAUAGAUGAGUGGUUCAAGAAUGAAGGUUGCUGGGAGAUUCAAGCCCUGCCUUCACAUGGGCUGUUUUGAUCUUGAAGUGUUUGUGGAAAUGAAUCAACGGUCAAGGAAGGCAAGCUUCUACACAAAAUGAAAGAUGUGGUUGUUUUGUCCUUAUUUAUUUAUUAGUUUUAAAGCAUGCUUUGCUUUAUGAUUGCAGUGGCAAUGCCCCAUUUGUCUUAAGAACUAUGCACUGGAGAAUGUCAUUAUUGAUCCAUAUUUUAAUCGUAUCACGUCAAAGGUAAUGCCUUCUUAUGCACUACAGAAAAUUGUGUUUCAAAAGUAUCGUUUUAUUGAUCUAUUUUUUUUCUUGUUCUUUUCUGUUUUUUUUUCCUGGUCAUGGGUUGUUACAGAUGAGGUAUUGUGGAGAAGAUGUAGCAGAGAUUGAGGUGAAGCCUGAUGGUUCUUGGCGAGUGAAGACUAAAAGUGAAAGUGAUCGUAGGGAUCUUGGGGAACUUGGGUGGUGGUACCUUCCUGAUAGUACACUUGCCCCAACAGAUGAAGAAAUUAUCCCAAAAACUGAAGUUUUGAAGCAGGUCAAACAGGAAGGUGUUUCAGACGGUCAUACUGGUUUGAAACUAGGAAUGAGGAAGAAUCGCAAUGGUGUUUGGGAAUUCAGCAAACCUGAAGAUAUGAACACCUCUUCAGAUAAUAGAUUACAAGUGCCAUUUGGAGACCACGAGGUAAAAGUUAUCCCAAUGAGUAGCAGUGCCACCGGAAGUGGUAGGGAUGGUGAAGAUGCAAGUGUAAAUCAGGAUGGUGGUGGGAACUUUGAUUUCUCUACUAACAAUGGAAUUGAGAUGGAUUCCUUUUCUCUAAAUGUUGAUUCUGUGUAUGGAUUUUCUGGACAAAAUCCUUCUGCAACUGUAGGAGAUGCAGAAGUUAUUGUCCUAAGUGAUUCCGAUGAUGACAUAAUGCCCUCUGGAACCAUCUACAGGGGAGAGAGAAAUGAUACUGGUGGGAUUAAUUUUCCUGUGGCCCCUUCUGGAAUUGCUGAUUCAUAUGGUGAAGAUCCCACGCUUGGGACUGGUGGGAAUCCAUGCUUGGGUCUUUUUAAUGGCAACGAUGAUGAUUUUAUUCCGCUCUGGCCACCAUUAGCUCCCGGAACUCAAUCAGGCCCUGGAUUUCAAUUAUUUAGUUCCGAGGCAGAUGUACCAGAUACCCUAGUUGGUCUGCCUCAUGGUUCCAUCAAUUGUUCCACAUCUAUGAAUGGAUACACCUUGGCUUCAGAAACUGGCAUGGGAUCUGCUACCCUAGUACCUGAUUCUUCUGUUGGUCGUUCAGAUGCUGACAUGAAUGAUGGCUUAGUUGAUAAUCCAUUGGCUUUUGCUGGUGAUGAUCCCUCUCUUCAAAUAUUUCUUCCCACAAGACCAUCAGAUGCAUCAGUGCAUUCUGAUUUGAGAGAUCAGGCUGAUAUGUCAAAUGGUGUCCCUACUGAUGAUUGGAUUUCUCUGAGGCUUGGGGGUGAUGCCAGUGGCAUUAAUGGUGCGCCUGCAACUCCAAAUGGAUUAAAUUCGAGAAUGCAAAUGCCAUCCAGAGAUGGUGCCAUGGAUUCUUUGGCUGACACAGGUUCGUUCUCUUUCGACAGAAUUGCUACAAUGAGUUUUAGAUCGGUUCAUGAUUGGCAUUAAAGGUAGCUUGAUGGUUGUUUAUGCUAAUGGUUUAAUAUACAUCACCUCUGAUUUCAUUGUGAAGGUUUUGUUUGAGAACUGGUUUUACUCUAUUGGUGAUCAAAAUAUUUACCUUUUUACCUUUUAACUUGUACUGGAUAUGAAAAAAGGUUUGAGGGUGGGAGGAAAUGGGUUGUGUUUAUUUUUCCUUUUCUCCAGUUGCAACACCUUCAGUAUACAUAGUUCAGGCAGGUGCUAUUUCCACAUCCUUAUAUUGCUAUAGCCACAACAUCUUUAAUCAGGUUAUUGACUUUUCAACUAUUUCGCAAGUUUCUUAUAAGAAAGAGAGUAAUAUUUAUAACUUUAAUUCUACUAUUGAGAAACAAAAGUUGAUAGCAUAUGACAUUUGCUCCCAAUUAUCUCUUAGCCCUUACAUGGCUAAGCUUCUGCCUGUUUAAUUAGUAUCAUUAGUUUUUUCUCAAAUAGUGUUGAAUUCCGUGGCCAAGCCUCUAUAAAAAAAAAGUAAAUAUGUUAUUUUCUUAUUUAAAGCUUUUGAAGCUUAAAGUCUUUAAACCAAAGAAAUAGAUUAGAAAGGGAAAAAAACCAAUUUGGUUAUUUUUAAUAUUAAACAAACAAUAAAACACAUCAAGUUCCAGAAUAUUUGCAAGCCAGUGAUGAUAGUUUUGUGUAUAUUUUGAUUUAUUUCAAUUAGGUGGCCAAGCUUAAAUUGUUUAAUCUAGUUUAAGUCUCUCUAUAAAGUUUAAUGCUUCUAGAGUACCAUGCUAAUAGUUGAAGGUUUUAAGUAAAACUGAGUUGUAGAGUUCUCACCAUUUUCUAGUGGUUAGAAGUCUGGUUGACAUCUUCCUUUUCAUAAUUCAGUCGUGUGAUUGAAUGGGUAACCAGUUGAGUUCAACCCAGCAAAACUGUAUUGCACGCCUUAGCUCUGUCGUUGAGCACAAUUAGAAAUUGUUUUUUGUUUUUACUUAAUUAUUAGAUUGGUGUGAUGAUGUCACAAAUUUUUGAUUCAUGACCAUGGAAAAAGGUAGAAGGAACUAAAAGAGAAUAGAUUAUAAACAUGCUUAAAAUGUGAGACAUAGUCAAAUUUGUUUUUCUUCUUUGAACAACUUAUGGGUUGUAUGAGCGAGCGAUAUCUCCUUUUUGGCAGUAAGUUUUACUUGUACAAGUGAGUGCUAUCUCGUGAGAUUGAGUAAUGAAGUGAGCAUUACUGAGCUUCUUCAAGCUCAAACUCAUGUGGAAUCACAUAUUCAAGUUCAUGAACUCCAUGGGACUAAAAUAUGCAAUUCAGUAGGACACUGCCCAACCUGUAACUCUUCCAAGCUUGUUGCUGUACUCCAAGUGCAACCUUUUAAAGCUCUUCUCAUUUCUGCCUCAUGUACAUCCUAGUUUACUCUAGCUUCUUUGCAAAACAGGAAUUGAACCAUGUUCACCAAGGCACGAUGAAGAGAGGCAGAUUCUUUGUGAGCCUCUUCAGAGACCAGAAUAUAGAGGUUAACAGAGAACUGAAGGAAUGCUUCUGUGCCUUCAUCUAUAAAAUAUCUCUCUUUUAGGAAAUCUGCAUAGAAAGAGUUGAAAAGACAAUAACCUUAUUAAAGAGACUGGCUAUAGCAAUAUAAGGGUGUGGAAAUUGUCCCAGCCAUUGUAUUGUUGUCAUUCCCUUUUUGGAAAUCUUUGCAGUUUAAUGAUCAUUAGGCUCAUCACUGUUGUACCUUAUGCAGCUUCUUUGCUUCUCGGUAUGAAUGACGGUAGCAGAUCUGACAAGACAAGUAGGCAGAGAUCAAAUAGUCCUUUCUCAUUUCCUCGCCAAAAACGUUCUGUCAGGCCGCGGUUGUAUCUUUCUAUUGACUCGGACUCUGAAUAGAGGAACUGGAACUUUUUCUUUAUGAGAACUAUCUUUUGGGCUUUUUUUAAUUUUAUUUCCCUGGGAUGGAAAGCAUAUCCUGGAGUAAUCUUAUGAUUGACUCAGAGAAUCUAGUUUUGGGUUUAUAAUUUAAAGAAUGCUGACAGACAUUUGGUCCCUGACAAGAGAAGAAGUGUUAGAUGCGGCACAAGGCACCUCGGGGAGAACAAAGUGUUAGAUGCGGCACAAGGCACCCGGGGUAGAACAAAGCGAUUUAAUACACAAGGCAUCCAAAUAGACUGCAUGAUUGCAAAACUUUUGCUGGCGCCUGCAAAAAUUUUCCCUUGGUUUGUAAGCUUGAGGCCUUUUAUCAUUUUUCAGUAUCCUGUUCACGUUUCAGCUGU
rnacentral:lncRNA from 1 species